GCCUUUUUCCUUAAAAACAAUGAUCUUCAAUAAUAUGUGCCUGUGUAGUUAGGAUUGUAUCCUAAGUAUUAAAAGGACUAAGUCCGUUGGUUAGAGCUGUACCAAUUCUAUAGUGUCCAUGUUUUGAAGGUUGGUAACUUGAAGCCCAUCCGAGUUUUGAAAGCUCAACUCAACCCUUUAGUAUGUUCAAGAUUUAUUCUCUUUCUUGAUAUGAAAGUAUGUUUGAUGAACGGAUGAAUAUGUAGAAUAGGGGUCAAAAGCUCAAUCCAAGGUAAAGAAGUUUAAAAAGUUCCAAAUAGCACAAGGAGUUUAAGAGGUUGUAAUUAUCAAAAGGUUUGAACAAUUUGGACAAAUACAAACCACAAAACAAUAGGAUUCUUCAUGAAGGUAGAGUUAAUACCUUAGAUUGGAUAUGAAGUAGACCGCUAGCUUGAUAGGGCCAAAAUGUUGUGUUCUUUAUAGGGAAGCAGCUGAGGACCUCAAUCAUUAUUUGCGGACUUGUGAUUUUGCUUGGUCAGUUUGGAAUUAUUUAUUUUUUCGGUCCUUCAGUCCUAGCUUGGUCCAGCCUAAAGACUGUAGGUUCAUGCUAGAGGAGUGUUUGCUUCACUCACACUUUCGUAACAAGGGUUGUCUUCUGUAGCUUGCUGGCAAUUGCACUAUUUUAUGAUGCCUUUGGGGUGGGAGGAACAAUAGAGUUUUUAGUGGGGUUGACAGGUCUUAUUGGAAGGUCUUCUUUUUUUGGGGAGGUUUGGUCCCUUGUAGGCUCCAUCUCUCCCUCUUGGCAUUGUUGUAUAAGAAUUUUUGUAAAUCCACGUAAUUUUCAUUUUGCUUAUUGGAUCCCUUUUCUAUGUUAGUUUAGCUUCUUUUUGGAGGGUUGUUUUAUUUGUAUGCCUAUUCUUUCAUAAAGUAUGGUUUCUCAUUAAAAAAAUAUUCUACAAAAUAGAUAAGGAUCUUUCUUUUUCCUAAAAGAAACUUAAAAAGUUUGUUGUUUUUCUCGAACCAAAAGGCCCCCCCCCC